rnacentral:rRNA from 1 species
CAGUCGCCACGGGAACACGAAGGGUGCAAGCGUUAAUCGGAAUUACUGGGCGUAAAGCGCGCGUAGGUGGUUUGGUAAGAUGGAUGUGAAAUCCCCGGGCUCAACCUGGGAACUGCAUCCAUAACUGCCUGACUAGAGUACGGUAGAGGGUGGUGGAAUUUCCUGUGUAGCGGUGAAAUGCGUAGAUAUAGGAAGGAACACCAGUGGCGAAGGCGACCACCUGGACUGAUACUGACACUGAGGUGCGAAAGCGUGGGGAGCAAACAGGAUUAGAUACCCCUGUAGUCCCUGUCUCUUAUAA